ACGCUGGCGGCAGGCUUAACACAUGCAAGUCGAACGGUAACAGGAGAAAGCUUGCUUUCUUGCUGACGAGUGGCGGACGGGUGAGUAAUGCUUGGGAAUCUGGCUUAUGGAGGGGGAUAACGACGGGAAACUGUCGCUAAUACCGCGUAGAGUCGAGAGACGAAAGUGCGGGACCGCAAGGCCGCAUGCCAUAGGAUGAGCCCAAGUGGGAUUAGGUAGUUGGUGGGGUAAUAGCCUACCAAGCCGACGAUCUCUAGCUGGUCUGAGAGGAUGACCAGCCACACCGGGACUGAGACACGGCCCGGACUCCUACGGGAGGCAGCAGUGGGGAAUAUUGCGCAAUGGGGGCAACCCUGACGCAGCCAUGCCGCGUGAAUGAAGAAGGCCUUCGGGUUGUAAAGUUCUUUCGGUAUUGAGGAAGGUUGUUGUGUUAAUAGCACGACAAAUUGACGUUAAAUACAGAAGAAGCACCGGCUAACUCCGUGCCAGCAGCCGCGGUAAUACGGAGGGUGCGAGCGUUAAUCGGAAUAACUGGGCGUAAAGGGCACGCAGGCGGACUUUUAAGUGAGGUGUGAAAUCCCCGGGCUUAACCUGGGAAUUGCAUUUCAGACUGGGAGUCUAGAGUACUUUAGGGAGGGGUAGAAUUCCACGUGUAGCGGUGAAAUGCGCAGAGAUGUGGAGGAAUACCGAAGGCGAAGGCAGCCCCUUGGGAAUGUACUGACGCUCAUGUGCGAAAGCGUGGGGAGCAAACAGGAUUAGAUACCCUGGUAGUCCACGCUGUAAACGCUGUCGAUUUGGGGAUUGGGCUUUAAGCUUGGUGCCCGAAGCUAACGUGAUAAAUCGACCGCCUGGGGAGUACGGCCGCAAGGUUAAAACUCAAAUGAAUUGACGGGGGCCCGCACAAGCG
rnacentral:rRNA from 1 species